GACGAACGCUGGCGGCGUGCCUAAUACAUGCAAGUAGAACGCUGAAGCGAGGAGCUUGCUCUUCUUGGAUGAGUUGCGAACGGGUGAGUAACGCGUAGGUAACCUGCCUUGUAGCGGGGGAUAACUAUUGGAAACGAUAGCUAAUACCGCAUAACACUGGAUGACACAUGUAAUUUAUUUGAAAGGGGCAAUUGCUCCACUACAAGAUGGACCUGCGUUGUAUUAGCUAGUAGGUGAGGUAAUGGCUCACCUAGGCGACGAUACAUAGCCUAACUGAGAGGGUGAACCGCCACACCGGGACCGAGACAAGGCCCAGACUCCUACGGGAGGCAGCAGUAGGGGAUCUUCGGCAAUGGGGGCAACCCUGACCGAGCAACGCCGCGUGAGGUAAGAAGGGUUUCGGAUCGUAAAGCUCUGUUUUAAGUCAAGAAAGGGUGGGAGAGUGGAAAGUUCACACUGUGACGGUAGCUUACCAGAAAGGGACGGCUAACUACGUG
rnacentral:rRNA from 1 species